AUUGAACGCCGUCGGCAGGCCUAACACAUGCAAGUCGAACGGUAACAGGAAGAAUCUUGCUUCUUUGCUGACGAGUGGCGGACGGGUGAGUAAUGUCUGGGAAACUGCCUGAUGGAGGGGGAUAACUACUGGAAACGGUAGCUAAUACCGCAUAACGUCGCAAGACCAAAGAGGGGGACCUUCGGGCCUCUUGCCAUCGGAUGUGCCCAGAUGGGAUUAGCUAGUAGGUGGGGUAAAGGCUCACCUAGGCGACGAUCCCUAGCUGGUCUGAGAGGAUGACCAGCCACACUGGAACUGAGACACGGUCCAGACUCCUACGGGAGGCAGCAGUGGGGAAUAUUGCACAAUGGGCGCAAGCCUGAUGCAGCCAUGCCGCGUGUAUGAAGAAGGCCUUCGGGUUGUAAAGUACUUUCAGCGGGGAGGAAGGGAGUAAAGUUAAUACCUUUGCUCAUUGACGUUACCCGCAGAAGAAGCACCGGCUAACUCCGUGCCAGCAACCGCGGUAAUACGGAGGGUGCAAGCGUUAAUCGGAAUUACUGGGCGUAAAGCGCACGCAGGCGGUUUGUUAAGUCAGAUGUGAAAUCCCCGGGCUCAACCUGGGAACUGCAUCUGAUACUGGCAAGCUUGAGUCUCGUAGAGGGGGGUAGAAUUCCAGGUGUAGCGGUGAAAUGCGUAGAGAUCUGGAGGAAUACCGGUGGCGAAGGCGGCCCCCUGGACGAAGACUGACGCUCAGGUGCGAAAGCGUGGGAGCAAACAGGAUUAGAUACCCUGGUAGUCCACGCCGUAAACGAUGUCGACUUGGAGGUUGUGCCCUUGAGGCGUGGCUUCCGGAGCUAACGCGUUAAGUCGACCGCCUGGGGAGUACGGCCGCAAGGUUAAAACUCAAAUGAAUUGACGGGGGCCCGCACAAGCGGUGGAGCAUGUGGUUUAAUUCGAUGCAACGCGAAGAACCUUACCUGGUCUUGACAUCCACAGAACCUUGUAGAGAUACGAGGGUGCCUUCGGGAACUGUGAGACAGGUGCUGCAUGGCUGUCGUCAGCUCGUGUUGUGAAAUGUUGGGUUAAGUCCCGCAACGAGCGCAACCCUUAUCCUUUGUUGCCAGCGGUCCGGCCGGGAACUCAAAGGAGACUGCCAGUGAUAAACUGGAGGAAGGUGGGGAUGACGUCAAGUCAUCAUGGCCCUUACGACCAGGGCUACACACGUGCUACAAUGGCGCAUACAAAGAGAAGCGACCUCGCGAGAGCAAGCGGACCUCAUAAAGUGCGUCGUAGUCCGGAUUGGAGUCUGCAACUCGACUCCAUGAAGUCGGAAUCGCUAGUAAUCGUGGAUCAGAAUGCCACGGUGAAUACGUUCCCGGGCCUUGUACACACCGCCCGUCACACCAUGGGAGUGGGUUGCAAAAGAAGUAGGUAGCUUCUCCAAGGGGAGGGCGCUUACCACUUUGUGAUUCAUGACUG
rnacentral:rRNA from 1 species